CAGUCGCCGCGGGAAUACGGAGGGUGCAAGCGUUAAUCGGAAUUACUGGGCGUAAAGCGCACGCAGGCGGUUUGUUAAGUCAGAUGUGAAAUCCCCGGGCUCAACCUGGGAACUGCAUUUGAAACUGGCAAGCUAGAGUCUCGUAGAGGGGGGUAGAAUUCCAGGUGUAGCGGUGAAAUGCGUAGAGAUCUGGAGGAAUACCGGUGGCGAAGGCGGCCCCCUGGACGAAGACUGACGCUCAGGUGCGAAAGCGUGGGGAGCAAACAGGAUUAGAUACCCCUGUAGUCCCUGUCUCUUAUAC
rnacentral:rRNA from 1 species